GCGCUGGUGGUCUGAGGCGUGCCAUCGCUGCCCGGAAAGCAGAAAGUGCGGGUUCGAAUCUCGCCUGGCGCA
rnacentral:tRNA from 1 species